rnacentral:lncRNA from 1 species
AAAGUGGUCGAGUAGCCGAUUUAAUAAUUGACGACAUCCAAGGUAAGUUUAUAAGCAAUUAGAUGUUAAAAUUUCUGAAUAAAUGUUAGUUAUAUAUGCUGAAAUGGAAAUAUGAAAAAAUAUUUAGUUCGGAAAGUAGAAAUAGACGUGAAUGUUGUUUAUCGAUAUUUAGCACUAAGUGUGCGAGUAUGGAAUAGCUACGGCUAUAUGAACGGCACUAAGUGUACAAAAUUAAAAUGAUGAUGUUGAAUAAUAGGCACUAAGUGUGCGAAAUUAAAAUGAUGAUGUUGAAUAACGAGCACUAAGUGUGCGAUACCGAGAGCAAUUUGGUUAGAUGAGAAAGAGGACUAAUUGUGCAACUUCAUUAUGGCCUCGAUCAAUUAUUUAGUACAUGAUAGUACAAGUAUGCAAUGGUUGAAUAAUACAUGAUAUGAAGGUAAGUUGAUUACUUCAAUUGUGAUAAGAAAAUUUUAUAUGAGGUAAAUGAAAGUAUAUAAGUAUAUGAAAGUCUAUAUUCGGCCGAAAGGGUAAGUAUAUGUGAUAUUGUAAUUGUGAAUUAUAUGCAUCUAUAUAUGAUUAAGUACAUUUGGUAAAGAGUGGGUAUAUGAUUUGAAAGUUAAAAAUAAGUAUGUUUUUAUUUAUAAGUAUAUUCGGCCAAGUUGAAAUUGGUUCAUAGUUACAUAAUUGAUAUUUAAAUUUUGCAAGCUCGAAUAUGUACAUAUGAAUAUGUUUGCAUUAUUCGGUUUUGUUAUUGAAUUAUUAACGUCAUUAAAUUGUUUAAUUGCUUAUGACUUACUAAGCUGUGAUAGCUUAUUGUGUAUAUGUGUUUUCCUCAGUUUUAUAGAUUUUGGAAGUUAAUUACGGACUCGGGGAUCGUCAGCGAAGUCAAUCACACUAUCGUUCGUUUAUCGGUAUCUAUAAAAGUUAAACUUUUGAACAUAUGGCAUGUAUAGGCUAGUACUUGUUUUGGUUGAAUUUUGAAACAUGGUUAGUAUAUGUAAUUUGAUUAAUG